AUGGGACGCGAAGAAAUAAAGUCCAUUUUUGUUGAAUUAAGUCAUGUAGACAAAAGUAAUAGGGAUAAAGGAAUUGAUAUACUUUAUGAUUAUAUAAAAGAAAAUAAUAAAAAGUUAAACUGUAAAAAACUAUUAUAUCUUUGUAAAGGACUUUUUUAUUAUUAUUGGCUUUGCUAUUCUAUGGAAGAGCAAAAAAAGGCAUCAUUAAAAAUUUGUAAAUUAAUAUAUCAAUUUGAUGAUGAAAAGGAAGAUAAUAAAAAAAAAGUAUUUUUAUUUUUCAGAUGUUUUGUAACUAUUAUGGCAAAAAAGUAUGACAAUUUAGAUAUUCAUAGAUUGAAUAAAUUUUUAUUUUUAUUACGAGUAUUUCAAGCUGAAUAUUUUAUGUUUUUAAAUAAAUAUUCAUGGGCUAUUAAAUAUAUUAAAAUAUAUAAUAAAAUGUUUUUAAAAGCAUUUGAUGAUAGCAAUGAGUUAUUUUACACCUAUAUAGAUACAUUUUUUAAAGAAUUUUUUGAAAAUGAAAAAUUUUUAAAAUCAAAAGGUAAACAAAACAACUACAAUACAAAACAGUUUUUGUUGUUGGUUGAUCCUUUUUUUCAAAUUAUUUGUACUACAGACAAUUUUUAUAUUAUAAAAAUUAUAAACCAAAAAAUUUUCUCUAUUAUAUCAAACAUGAAAGAUAUAGAUAAAAAUAUGUUAUUAAAAAAAAUUAACAAAUAUAUGUUAAAAUGUAGAAAUAAACAUAGCUCAAAGGUUUUAAAUAAAUAUUACUUAUUAUUAUUUAAUAAAAAUAAAAACAAGAAUAAUAUUAGUGGCAUUAGUGACGUUAGUGGUAUUAGUGGAAUUAAUGGCAUUAGUGACAAUGAUAAUAAAAUUAUAAUAAAAAAAAACGCACCAAUUUUUAUAGAAACUGAUAAUAAACUUUCUAAUAAUGAUAGUGUUAUAAUUGAUAGUAUUACAAAUGGUGAUAAAAAAAUAUCAAUAGAGAAUAGAAGCAUGGGAGAAGUUUUAACAGGAUUAAAAUAUAAAAUAGAAAAUGUAACAAAAAUAGAGAGUAAAGACGACAAUAACAAAUCCAUAUUUGAUAUUAGUACCAGUGAUUUAAAUAAAAAUGUAGCUGGUAGUAGUAUAUGUAGUAACAUGUGUGAAAAAAAAAAUAAGAUAGUGAAGAAGAAAAAAAAAGUAAAAGAUGGAAAAAAUACAAAAGGGAAAUCUGAUUGUGCUAUUUUUAUUAACAAAAACAUGAAUAAAAAAUGUAAAAAAAAAUUAAAUAAAACAAAUAAAAAAAAAAAAAAAAAAAAAAAAAAAAAAAAAAAAAAAAAAAAAAAAAAAAAAAAACAAUUAAUGACACAUAUAAAAUGUGAAUUGUAUAUGAGUAAAUAUGGUAUAAAAAAAUAAGAAGUUUCUUAUUUAAAUCUUGAAAAAAAUAAAAAUGGAUUAUUUAAAAUUAUUUUUAAAAGU
rnacentral:lncRNA from 1 species